rnacentral:antisense_RNA from 1 species
ACCGUGCAAAGGUAGCAUAAUCACUUGUUCCUUAAUUAGGGACUAGCAUGAACGGCUAAACGAGGGUCCAACUGUCUCUUAUCUUUAAUCAGUGAAAUUGACCUUUCAGUGAAGAGGCUGAAAUAUAAUAAUAAGACGAGAAGACCCUAUGGAGCUUAAAUUAUAUAACUUAUCUAUUUAAUUUAUUAAACCUAAUGGCCCAAAAACUAUAGUAUAAGUUUGAAAUUUCGGUUGGGGUGACCUCGGAGAAUAAAAAAUCCUCCGAAUGAUUAUAACCUUCUCUAGGUUAGAGGGUGUACGUAUAUAUUUUAUUUAGAUUUUAUUCAUAAAUUAAGUUGAGAGCGCUUAUUUGUAAGGUGGCUCUAUUUCUCUUGUCCUUUCGUACUGGGAGAAAUCGUAAAUAGAUAGAAACCGACCUGGAUUGCUCCGGUCUGAACUCAGAUCACGUAGGACUUUAAUCGUUGAACAAACGAACCAUUAAUAGCUUCUACACCAUUGGGAUGUCCUGAUCCAACAUCGAGGUCGUAAACCCUAAUUGUCGAUAUGAACUCUUAAAUAGGAUUGCGCUGUUAUCCCUAGGGUAACUUGGUCCGUUGAUCAAAAUAUAUCUGGGUCAAUAAGAUAUGUUGAUUUUACUUUGACUUGUAAGUCUAGGUUAUAAUCAUUCGGAGGAUUUUUUAUUCUCCGAGGUCACCCCAACCGAAAUUUCAAACUUAUACUAUAGUUUUUGGGCCAUUAGGUUUAAUAAAUUAAAUAGAUAAGUUAUAUAAUUUAAGCUCCAUAGGGUCUUCUCGUCUUAUUAUUAUAUUUCAGCCUCUUCACUGAAAGGUCAAUUUCACUGAUUAAAGAUAAGAGACAGUUGGACCCUCGUUUAGCCGUUCAUGCUAGUCCCUAAUUAAGGAACAAGUGAUUAUGCUACCUUUGCACGGUCAGGAUACCGCGGCCGUUAAACUUUAGUCACUGGGCAGGCAGUGCCUCUAAUACUUGUAAUGCUAGAGGUGAUGUUUUUGGUAAACAGGCGGGGUUCUUGUUUGCCGAGUUCCUUUUAUCUUUUUGGAUCUUUCCUUUAGGCAUUCCGGUGUUGGGUUAACAGAGAAGUUAUAGGUGGAUUAUUUAUAGUGUGAUUAUUGCCUAUAGUCUGAUUAACUAACAAUGGUUAUCCGAGUUGUUAUACGCGUAUGCCUGGAGAAUUGGAAUUCUUGUUACUCAUACUAACAGUGUUGCAUCUAUAAAGUUAUAGAUUAACCCAAUUUUAAGUUUAGGAAGUUGGUGUAAAUUAUGGAAUUAAUUGAAAUUUUAUGUUGAGCUUGAACGCUUUCUUUAUUGGUGGCUGCUUUUAGGCCUACAAUGGUUAAAAGCUGUUUUGUUAAUUAUUCACUAUUAAAGGUUUUUUCCGUUCCAGAAGAGCUGUCCCUCUUUUGGCUAUAAUCUAAACUUACUUUUUGAUUUUGUUGUUUUUUUAGCAAGUUUAAAAUUGAACUUAAAUUCAUUUUUUGGGUAACCAGCUAUCACCAAGCUCGUUAGGCUUUUCACCUCUACCUAAAAAUCUUCUCACUAUUUUGCCACAUAGACGAGUUGAUUCAUAAAAUUGUUUUUAGGUAGCUCGUUUGGUUUCGGGGUUUCUAGCUGUAAUUCUUUUAGUUAGAAGUUUUCUAGUUAGUUCAUUAUGCAAAAGGUACAAGGUUUAAUCUUUGCUUGUUCUUACUUUUAAUUAGUCUUUCAUCUUUCCCUUGCGGUACUAGUUCUAUAGCUCCUAGAUGUACGAAUUUCUUUCUCCAAUACUUUUAGUAGGAUAAAUGUUUUGAUUUAUAUAAUAGUAUAAUUAUAUUUGUGUAGGGCUAGGGCUAGGAUUAGU